rnacentral:rRNA from 1 species
CUUAACACAUGCAAGUCGAGGGGCAGCAUCAUCAAAGCUUGCUUUGAUGGAUGGCGACCGGCGCACGGGUGAGUAACACGUAUCCAACCUGCCGACAACACUGGGAUAGCCUUUCGAAAGAAAGAUUAAUACCGGAUGGCAUAGUUUUCCCGCAUGGGAUAAUUAUUAAAGAAUUUCGGUUGUCGAUGGGGAUGCGUUCCAUUAGGCAGUUGGCGGGGUAACGGCCCACCAAACCUACGAUGGAUAGGGGUUCUGAGAGGAAGGUCCCCCACAUUGGAACUGAGACACGGUCCAAACUCCUACGGGAGGCAGCAGUGAGGAAUAUUGGUCAAUGGACGAGAGUCUGAACCAGCCAAGUAGCGUGAAGGAUGACUGCCCUAUGGGUUGUAAACUUCUUUUAUACGGGAAUAAAGUGAGCCACGUGUGGCUUUUUGUAUGUACCGUAUGAAUAAGGAUCGGCUAACUCCGUGCCAGCAGCCGCGGUAAUACGGAGGAUUCGAGCGUUAUCCGGAUUUUUUGGGUUUAAAGGGAGCGUAGGCGGGUUGUUAAGUCAGUUGUGAAAGUUUGCGGCUCAACCGUAAAAUUGCAGUUGAUACUGGCGACCUUGAGUGCAACAGAGGUAGGCGGAAUUCGUGGUGUAGCGGUGAAAUGCUUAGAUAUCACGAAGAACUCCGAUUGCGAAGGCAGCUUACUGGAUUGUAACUGACGCUGAUGCUCGAGAGUGUGGGUAUCAAACAGGAUUAGAUACCCUGGUAGUCCACACAGUAAACGAUGAAUACUCGCUGUUGGCGAUAUACAGUCAGCGGCCAAGCGAAAGCAUUAAGUAUUCCACCUGGGGAGUACGCCGGCAACGGUGAAACUCAAAGGAAUUGACGGGGGCCCGCACAAGCGGAGGAACAUGUGGUUUAAUUCGAUGAUACGCGAGGAACCUUACCCGGGCUUAAAUUGCAACUGACGGAACCGGAAACGGUUCUUUCUUCGGACAGUUGUGAAGGUGCUGCAUGGUUGUCGUCAGCUCGUGCCGUGAGGUGUCGGCUUAAGUGCCAUAACGAGCGCAACCCUUACGGGUAGUUACCAUCAGGUUAUGCUGGGGACUCUACCCGGACUGCCGUCGUAAGAUGUGAGGAAGGUGGGGAUGACGUCAAAUCAGCACGGCCCUUACGUCCGGGGCUACACACGUGUUACAAUGGGGGGUACAGAAGGCAGCUACACGGCGACGUGGUGCUAAUCCCAAAAGCCUCUCUCAGUUCGGAUUGGAGUCUGCAACCCGACUCCAUGAAGCUGGAUUCGCUAGUAAUCGCGCAUCAGCCACGGCGCGGUGAAUACGUUCCCGGGCCUUGUACACACCGCCCGUCAAGCCAUGAAAGCCGGGGGUACCUGAAGUACGUAACCGCGAGGAGCGUCCUAGGGUAAAACUGGUGAUUGGGGCUAAGUCGUAACAAGG